rnacentral:sRNA from 1 species
CGUGGUCCACCUGCUGAGGGCAGAUGUAGUGGAUGUGGCAGUCGAAGCCGCCGGGCGUCAGGAUGCGUCCCUCUCCGGCGAUGAUCUCGGUCCCGGGGCCGAUGAUCAGCGACACGCCGGGCUGGAUGUCGGGGUUGCCGGCCUUGCCGAUGCCCGCGAUCAUGCCGUCGCGGAUGCCCACGUCGGCCUUGACGAUGCCCUGAUGGUCAAAGACCACGACGCCGGUGAUGACCGUGUCCAUCGCGCCGCCCGCGCGGGUGAUCUGGCUUUGGCCCAUGCCGUCGCGGACG